rnacentral:rRNA from 1 species
GUGCCAGCAGCCGCGGUAAUACCUGCAGCCCAAGUGGUGCUCGUUAUUAUUGGGUCUAAAACGUCCGUAGUCGGCUGAGUAGAUGCCCGGGUAAAUCGCAGCGCUCAACGUUGCGAAUUCCGGGUAGACCGCUCGGCUAGGGAGUGGGAGAGGUGCGAGGUACUCUGAGGGUAGGGGUAAAAUCCUGUAAUCCUUGGGGGACCACCAGUGGCGAAGGCGUCGCACUAGAACACGUCCGACGAUCAGGGACGAAGCCCUGGGGCGCAAACGGGAUUAGAAACCCGCGUAGUCC